UCAUUGCGUCCGAACCGCUACAUUCGCUUGUUCUGAACUAUAAAACGUGUUUCUUUACUCGGACUCCAGGAGAGAGAGAGCCAGAAGUAGAAUCAAGAAACGGAGAUAGGGAGACAAAAAUAAGUAAAAAUCAGGAAACAGAGAGAGAGAGGAAAAAGUAAAGAUCAAGAAACGUACGGACAUAAAAAGAAUCGUCAUCGUCUUGUCCCAAAGAUUUAUAGCCGUUAUCGGACUUGAUCGGGUUUCGGGUUAGGGGUUUCUCAGAAUGGAGUCGUCUGGUUCUCACGAUGGCAACAUCCACGAUUUGCUCGACACCCGUCGCUUCGACGGUCACCAAGCCUCCUUAUGAACUUCUUGGGUGAUUUCAAUUGCACGAGUUUGCUGAAAGAAAAUUUCAUCCAUUUGAGUGUGCUCAGAGCUAAUUAGGUUCUUAUCAAAGCGUGCUUGAUAUGUCAUCGGAGAAGACGAUUGGCAGUGCUAAGGAGUGUGGGGGGCUCUACUACUUUGAGGAGGCUAAUUUACAGAAGAAAACUUAAACUCAGGGGGGGAUGCAGAAAAACAAAAUGACAAGGAGUUACUUGUUUAUUCAAGGAAGCCAAAAUUAAGGUACAAGGAGAAUCUCACACCUGAGGCACCAAGAGAGUUGAAACCGACGAUAGAUCCAAGCAACCAUGAGUCUCUUUCCAAUCCCUACCAGGAACAAUCUGGUCCGGAACCAGACAGCAUGUCGAGUCUGGGAUCUUGUUAGGUGUAGCCACCUGGGUCUUGUCGAAGAAAAGGAAAAGAGAUUCAUUAUCAGUCUCCUAGUUAUGACUCUGUUUACAUAAGGGUUUUAUGGUAUAGAAAUAGCAAAUAGCAUUGACCUUCUAAAUGAUGGGCAGUAUCUUUAAGAAAAAUAUGUUGGUUAGAAUGAGCUCAUAAUUGCUCUUGCAAAUCUAAAUGUGAAAGACAUGUUGGACGUAUGGUUUACCAACAUUAAGAUGGUCAAUCAUCUAGUUGUUGCUCCAAAUGAGAAGAUUGUCAGGUUCUGCGAAUCAAAGGAUGUUCUAGUGUAUAAAAGAGACCCGGGUGAAGGUAUUGAUUCAGUUACGAAGACUGGAGGGAACCAUGCUAUUUCAAGAUUGAAAUUUCGUGUUCUGAGGGAGUUUUUGGAACUAUAGUGUUCUUCUAUCUGCUCUUGAUAUCGUAUAUUUGCAGGAUCCUUUUCAUUAUAUAUCUCAGGAUUAUGAUGUAGAGUCCAUGACUGGUGGUCGAGCCCCAAAAUUUGAUGAUCUUUGUUUUUCUAGUGCUGGAAGGGGACAACUACUUGUUCUAGCAUUCAGAGAUUGAUUUGACGUCGCAAGUUGUGCAUAUCACUUUAACAUUAACAAAGAGCUUGAUCUUAUCCAAGGAAAAAAAGGUAGCAAUGGCUAGAUUCCGUAGAUUGGAGUUGCAAUAGCUGAAAGAAUUGCUACUCUAGAGUGGGGAUUGUUCUUAUGCAUGGAUGAUUUUACGAAUAGAAUUAAUCUUAUCCCUGUGGCCUUAAAGGAGGCCGCAUCUUUGCAACAACUGCUUUUGGUGAGCAACCUACGAAAUCAUAUUACAAAAAUUUACCUGUUGUUGUGUUCAGCAGACCACCCCUUUCUAUAGUGGGUAAAAUUUUUUUGAAAAAACAUGGUGUCUUGUUGAGAUAAGAAAAAUCUUCAUUUUUGCCCUGGUGAUGGGAAAAUUGCGUGAAAGGAUACUGUACCUUGGGAGCAAGGGGCUUUUAUGGGGGGAUGGUUUAUCACAGUUCACAAACGAAGAACAUGGGCUAUAGGCCAGUUUAGUUCAUCAGCAACUUCCUUAAUUUUGAUUCAGCAUGUUAUUUGGACUAUAGGAUAGCCAGUGGGCCUGGACCCAUAGUUUUAUUUUCUUUGUAUAUUUUUAGUUUUGUUAGCCUGAGUCCAUCUGUCCCUGUAAGGGGCAUCCUGUUUAUGUACGAGCCAAGGGCUCUAGUUUUGAACAUCCAAAAGCUUAAUGCAACUAGUUUUCAGUUUCUCU